AACGCACCUUGCGCCCUUUGGCUAUUCCGAAGGGCAUGCCUGUUUGAGUAUCAUGAACACCUCAACUCUCAUGGUUUGCCGUGAUGAGCUUGGACUUUGGGGGUCUUGCUGGCCUACGGUCAGCUCCCCUAAAAUGAAUCAGCUUGCCAGUGUUUGGUGGGAUCACAGGUGUGAUAACUAUCUACGCUUGUGGCCUUCCACCAAUUAACUUCCAGCAAUGGAGGUUCGCUGGAGCUCAUAAACGUCUCUCCUCAGCGAGGACAGCUCUUUUGAAUGUUUGAUCUCAAAUCAGGUAGGACUACCCGCUGAACUUAA
rnacentral:misc_RNA from 1 species